rnacentral:rRNA from 1 species
CACGGGGGGAGCAAGCGUUGUUCGGAAUCACUGGGCGUAAAGGGCGUGUAGGCGGUCAGGUAAGUGAGAUGUGAAAUGCCCCGGCUCACCCGGGGACCGGCAUCUCAUACUGCUUGGCUUGAGUACGGGAGAGGAUGUGGGAAUUCCUGGUGUAGCGGUGAAAUGCGUAGAUAUCAGGAGGAACACCGGUGGCGAAGGCGGAUCUCUGGGCCGAUACUGACGCUGAGGAGCGAAAGCGUGGGGAGCGAACAGG